UGGCUAAUCUAAAGUGUCCCAGUAGAUAAGGACUCUGGUGAAGAGUCCCACUAGACUGAAACUCUGCUGAAGAGUCCCACUAGACUUGGACUCUAUUAUUAAUGGAGGAUUAAUUAGUGAUUAAAUCACUAAUUAGCUCAAUUUGAUUGAGCAUUAAAGUCUGCAUCAAGUUUAAUUGAAUUUGAUUCAAUCAGGUCAGGUCU
rnacentral:lncRNA from 1 species